rnacentral:rRNA from 1 species
UGGGGAAUAUUGGACAAUGGGCGAAAGCCUGAUCCAGCAAUACCGCGUGGGUGAUGAAGGUCUUCGGAUUGUAAAGCCCUUUUAGUGGAGAAGAUAAUGACGGUAUCCACAGAAAAAGCACCGGCAAACUUCGUGCCAGCAGCCGCGGUAAUACGAAGGGUGCUAGCGUUGUUCGGAAUCAUUGGGCGUAAAGCGUACGUAGGCGGUUUAGUAAGUCGAUUGUGAAAGCCCCGAGCUUAACUUGGGAACUGCAAUCGAAACUGCUUUGCUAGAGUUUGGUGGGGGAUAGUGGAAUUCCUAGUGUAGGGGUGAAAUCCGUAGAUAUUAGGAGGAACAUCAGUGGCGAAGGCGACUAUCUACGCCAAUACUGACGCUAAGGUACGAA